rnacentral:lncRNA from 1 species
AGCAGAAGUCAGAGGGCCAGGAGGCAGGGCACCGUCUGGGAGUCGUUUUUGAUUAGAAGUUGACCUCAGAAAUAUGCUCACAUCAUUUUGAAAGCAUCUUCCAGCACCACAGAAAUCGACUCAGAUGGAGAAAGGACACUGAGUGGACAGGGGCCAGGAUGGGGCGUGGACGCUCUGCCUCUGCCGGGGACAAGGCCUUCCCACAGACUCCCUGGGGUGUUGCCAGCCUGAGUCAGAGAUAUUGAUGUAAUGCCUACCGUGUUCCAGACACGCUGCGAGGCCCUGGGGAUGCAGCCACAAUCCCAACAGAUCUGAUGCCUGCUCUCAUGGAACUGACUUUGCACUGGGGGGAGGCCAACUCCACGAAAACAGAAACUGGAUGACACAUUGGAGGGAGAGCAGUAAAAGGAGCAAGCAGAGAGCAAGAACAACAGUGUUGCCAUGGGGCGGGUGGGCCCGCUGUAGCCAGGGAGGGCCUCUCCGAAGGUAUAACAGUGCCUUGCUGAAUUCACUCCCACGACCCCUCCAUGCUUGGGUCAGGAUGCAUGAACCUGAAAGCACAUGAAGUCCUCUCUGGGAUCUUCUGCCUUUGGUCCUAACUGUUCUCAGGGGGAAGCGACUCUGAAGGCCAAGAGGUAAGUUUCCUAAGCAACCGGGCCUGCUGGUCUUGAGCCCUCCCCUGUGCCUUUUUUUUUGAGUCUCCCUCCGUCACACAGGCUGGAGUGCAGUGGCGCCAUCUCGGCUCAUCUCCGCCUCCAGGUUCAAGCGAUUCUCCUGCCUCAACCUCCUAAGGGAACCUGCCACCAUGGCCCGGCUAAUUUUUGUAUUUUUAGUAGUGACGGGGUUUCACCAUGUUGGCCAGGCUGGUCUCGAACUCCUGACCUUGCCUCGGCCUCCCAAAGUGCUGGGAUUACAGGCGUGAGCCACCAUGCCCAGCCCUUCCCCUCUGACUUCUUCUGUCUCAAAACUGAAAAGGCCUGUUACUUGAAACAGAGCUCUCCCAGACCUCUGCUUUACACUUACUAAGUAACUUCCCAGUGUUCAUCUUCUCCAGGGAAACCUGGCCGUACUUGAGUGAGGCUCAGUGAAAAGAACAUAAAACCCUCAAUAGGACCCUCAAUAGGACUGUAGCCCAGAGCUGUGGGUGGGGUCUGAAGAGUGAUGGUGGAACAGCAGUAAAUCCCCUCCCAGGCCACGCUGGUCAGAGUCAGCCACAGGCCUGAGCCGCUGGCUUGCCAAAGUCCCCAAGCCCAAGACACACAUUAAAAAGGCAUCGCCCUUCGACAAGUUCCCUGGGGGGCUUACAACCUCAGCACUGAUAUUUUACUUGCAUUUUUAUCCUCGGAUGCAAAGUCCUGAGGACACUCCUGAGGGACUCCCCAGGAGCCGAUUCCUCAGAUGCAAAAAGUCCUGAGGAGGGACAGUGGCAGAUGGCUGGAGAAUGUGCUCCUCCCCCCAGGGCUUCCUUCUGCCAUAGGGAAGUAGGGGUUCAUCUCAGCAGGCCCCAUCCUCUGGCAAUCAUGCUUCUCAAGCGUCAGCUCCCCUGGGUGUACUAAUAUAAACUCUAAGAUGGGCUGGGCACUGUGUGUGCUGGUUUAUUCCGAUUAGAAUAUGGAGAAGAUUAAAUAACAGCAACAGCAUCUAAGAAGCUGAGGCACAGAGAGGUAAUGCAACCUUCCUUCCUCAAUGUCUCAUCUGGACUUCACACCCCAGGGCCUCCUGAAACCUGCACGAUAAGGUCUUCUUAGCGGCCAGGCUCCUCUGUGGAGGCCCAUCGAGGUGGAUCUGCUGGGUGAGGGGCUCAGCCGAGCACCCUGGGAAACUCAGUUCCAAGGGGCUGAUUUCAAAUCCAGAAACCAAGUAGCAGAAUCCUGCGACUUCAAAAGCCACAACAAGGAAGCCCCCCGGGAGGAGCUGAAACCUUGAGUGGAGGGAAUCAGGAUUGGAAAUGACCUAAGCACAGGGCGGGGCUUCCUCAGUGGCUUCUUAGGUAGGUUUUCGGACCUCCCUGCCCACUCUGCUGUUCCCCAGUGCCGGACACCCACCACGGAUGGAGAGCCUCAUUUAACUGGACACCCACAACAAAGUGUGCAAAACCAAAAAGGAGCAGGCUCCAAAGACGUUGCUGCAUUUUUCCACGCAGGCCAGCCCUGGAAUCGGGGAGCAUGCAAGUUAAUGGGGCCUCAUCCCCCCUUCUCCCGCCCAACCCUGAGAUUCUCAGGGAGGUCCCCAGGAGUGUCCACUUCAGGAGUGGAGGGGUCUAGCCCUUAAGAGCAGGAGAAUGAGAAGAGAGGGCCUUCAGCCUGUCAAGUUUUCUUAUACUUUACUUAAAAAAAAAAAAAUUCAAGUUAAGGAAACACACAGCUGGAAAACAAAAG